GCCAGUAUGGUACAGCGGUUGGUAUGUCUGCUUAGAAAAGUUAUCUGAUAUUAUCAAAAAUCUUUUUAAGAUCCUGGGUUCAAUUCCCAGAUCUGUCG